UACGUAGGGUGCGAGCGUUAAUCGGAAUUACUGGGCGUAAAGCGUGCGCAGGCGGUUCGUGAUGUCUGAUGUGAAAGCCCCGGGCUCAACCUGGGAAUUGCAUUGGAAACUAGCGGGCUGGAGUGUGGCAGAGGGAGGUGGAAUUCCACGUGUAGCGGUGAAAUGCGUAGAGAUGUGGAGGAACACCGAUGGCGAAGGCAGCCUCCUGGGCCAAUACUGACGCUCAUGCACGAAAGCGUGGGGAGCAAACAGG
rnacentral:rRNA from 1 species